GACAGAGGGGGCAAGCGUUGCUCGGAAUCACUGGGCGUAAAGGGCGCGUAGGCGGGAUGGCAAGUCGGUCGUGAAAUCUCUCGGCUCAACCGAGAAACGUCGGCCGAUACUGCCGUUCUUGAGGGAUGCAGAGGAGACUGGAAUUCCCGGUGUAGCGGUGAAAUGUGUAGAGAUCGGGAGGAACACCGGUGGCGAAGGCGGGUCACUGGUCCGGUACUGACGCUGAGGUGCGAAAGCGUGGGGAGCAAACAGG
rnacentral:rRNA from 1 species